UGCUGGGUUUAUAGUUUCAAAAGCUUU
rnacentral:piRNA from 1 species